GUUUCUUUGUGUUCCAUCGUCGAGCUGUCUGCGUAACUCGUUUAGGUGCACUGUCUCGUGUUUCAUACUCUGCGUCAUUCCGUUUUCGCCAUUCGGUUCGUCGCCGGCGCCAUAGCCAAUCGAUUAUUUGGUUCUUCAAGGCA
ensembl:ncRNA K02A11.6 ncRNA